rnacentral:tRNA from 1 species
GCACCGGUAGACCAACUGGUAGGAGUCGCAGUCCUGAGACGGCUGAUAGUGUGGGUUCGAAUCCCAUCCGGUGUAC